rnacentral:rRNA from 1 species
UACGAAGGUUGCAAGCGUUACUCGGAAUUACUAGGCGUAAAGCGCGUGUAGGCGGUUCGGUAAGUCCGCUGUGAAAGUCGGGGGCUCAACCCUCGGAAGCCGGUGGAUACUGUCGGGCUAGAGUACGGAAGAGGCGAGUGGAAUUCCUGGUGUAGCGGUGAAAUGCGCAGAUAUCAGGAGGAACACCAAUUGCGAAGGCAGCUCGCUGGGACGUUACUGACGCUGAGACGCGAAAGCGUGGGGAGCAAACAGG